rnacentral:tRNA from 1 species
CAGAAGAUAGUUUAAUUUAGAACCCUGGCUUUGGGAGCCAGGGGUGGGAGUUAAAAUCUCCUUUUUCUGG